GUGCUGGUGGUGUAGGGGUUAAGCACACGACUAUGUGCGGAGGCUAUAGUCCUCGAUGCGGCUGUCCCGGGUUUGAGUCCCGGACCCGGCGACC